rnacentral:lncRNA from 1 species
GCUAGCGUAAUUUGGAUGUGAGAUUUUCUUUGCAAUACAAACAUAAUCAAUGAAGCAGUAGUAUAUAUCUUCGGCCAGAAACAAAUACAAAUACACUCCUCUAAUAAAAAAAUAUAGAAAUACACAGUACCCCUACUUAGGUCCUACACGCUAUGCCCUAAUCUGCAUUAAGCAGGAUAAGAACAAAAAGAGAGCGGGGCCAGGCCAUGCCAUUUGCAGAAGCUCUCACGCACAUCCGAACAGAGCUGAUGCUCCAAGCAUCCAAACGCUCAGGUCCCCCGGGAUCUUCCAUUUGGCUCACUCCAGCAGCUGCCAGAUCGCCAUCGUGGCGCGAGCGACUAGCUACAAAUCUGGGCGCUGAACACCCUGCGAUACCUCCUGCCACUGCCAGGCAAGACCAGGCCUACUAAGCUCCUGCCAGCCAAGGAGGGCCUACUUAGGCUGGUCAUAGUGGGGAGUAACUUAUACUAAUGUCAUGCAUAUGACACUAGUCUAAGUUACUACCUUCAUAGUGCAAAGUAACAUACUAGUAGUGUCAUAUGUGGCUUCAUUUAAUGGCUUGUAGACUCAUCAUGUCUUGGGAAACGCUAUGUUACAGUAACAUAUUAUGUUACUACUUCUCAUUAACUACAUGCCACAUAAGCAAAAAUUUCUCGAAGUGUGCUAUGUUACUAUCUAAGUUACUCCCACUAUGACUAGCCUUAGGAAAAUGAUCAGCAACAAAAAAAUAUGCUUACAUCUGAGCUGACGCAGCCAAACCGAUGCGUACGACCGAGCUGAUGCACCAAGUGUCCUAGUCAUCCUCUGAUGUGGACACCUGCAAAAAAAACAGCUCCUCGCAUUAAAAUUAUCGGCAGAGUUUACCCCUAGGCCAGCCGCUGUCAAGGAAGAGGGGUUUUCAUCGGCCGUCGCUUUCCCGGCGAAGAAGAUCUGGUUUCACAAUGUUGAAUCAGUUUGGGUCUGCAGGACAAAGACAGCCUUUAAUUAAGGGUGCACUCCUAACAUCAUUCAAGCACUUUCUACUAGUGGUUCUGGCACUGAAACCGAUCGGUACAUAAAUUAUUUCACCACCAUGGCGAGUGCAAUGAAAGCUCUGGGGAUUUUGUUACUUCAUAAUUCUCAAAUGUUUACUCAGUCUAUGUAUUAUUUAGACAGCUGCAUGUACUUGAGAGUAAAAAACAGAGAAAAACUUGAGAAGCAAUAGAAGAAGAGGAUAGUGAACAAAGAAAAAGAGAGACAGGUUCCUUCAAACAGCUUUUGUGUUUGAAGUUGAAAUCUAAUGUUAAAAAUCCAGCAAAAACAAAAAAUCAUGGUGAGUUACUGACUCAAAUGGGAAAAGGUCAUCUGUGAAGGAGUGCACUCCGAAGGGUGAGCGAAUAGGAUAUGCAGCUCUUGUGGCCAGUUUUGUUAUCCUACUCGUCUUUAGGUUGGCAUCGCACCUUGUUGACACAUUUAUCUGUGUCAUUUUCCGUUUUUUACCCAACUGUCAACCACAUCUAACUUUAUGGUUGCUCUUGUGAAUGGACUUACCUGUGAACAAACAAGACAAUGACACUAUAAAAGCAGAAGUUCACUCAGCAGCUAGAGCAAUAGACACACAGCGCUAGUCAAUUACCUGGUAGGCAUAGCAUGGGAGAAACAAAUAAUGCAAGAGCUGAUGGUGGAGUCAAGGGUGGAGAAGAGGAAGAGAAAGGCAGGAAGAAGAUGACCAAGGGUGGUAAGGCGUCGUUCCAUGACCUGUUCAAGAACGCGGACGCCGCUGAUGUGGUGCUGAUGCUGGUUGGCACGGUCGCCGCGCUUGCGAGCGGCAUGUCACAGGUCGUCAUGUCGAUCAUCUUCGGGCGGAUGGUAGAUGCCUUUGGAGGUGCCACCCGGGACACCAUCCUUCCCCGAGUCGACAAGGUACCCUUUUGCUUCUGUAUGAAU